rnacentral:rRNA from 1 species
AGUGAACGCUGGCGGUAGGCCUAACACAUGCAAGUCGAACGGCAGCACAGUAAGAGCUUGCUCUUACGGGUGGCGAGUGGCGGACGGGUGAGGCAUACAUCGGAAUCUACUUUUUCGUGGGGGAUAACGUAGGGAAACUUGCGCUAAUACCGCAUACGACCUACGGGUGAAAGCAGGGGAUCUUCGGACCUUGCGCGAUUGAAUGAGCCGAUGUCGGAUUAGCUAGUUGGCGGGGUAAAGGCCCACCAAGGCGACGAUCCGUAGCUGGUCUGAGAGGAUGAUCAGCCACACUGGAACUGAGACACGGUCCAGACUCCUACGGGAGGCAGCAGUGGGGAAUAUUGGACAAUGGGCGCAAGCCUGAUCCAGCCAUACCGCGUGAGUGAAGAAGGCCUUCGGGUUGUAAAGCCCUUUUGUUGGGAAAGAAAAGCAGCAGGUUAAUACCCCGCUGUUCUGACGGUACCCAAAGAAUAAGCACCGGCUAACUUCGUG